rnacentral:rRNA from 1 species
GACAGAGGUCCCGAGCGUUAGGCGGAAUCACUGGGCUUAAAGCGUGUGUAGGCGGAUCGUUAAGUGCCUUGUGAAAUCCCACGGCUUAACCGUGGAACUGCUUGGCAUACUGGCGGUCUUGAGCCACUUAGGGGCAACCGGAACAAAUGGUGGAGCGGUGAAAUGCGUAGAUAUCGGGAGGAACACCCGUGGCGAAGGCGGGUCCCUGGGACGGUACUGACGCUGAGACGCGAAAGCGUGGGGAGCGAACAGG